rnacentral:rRNA from 1 species
UUUUAGGAUGCGUUGUCUGACUGCUCUUUGGAAGAUUUGGGAUAUGAAGGGGACAAAUUCACCUGGUUCCGAGGAGGUUUACGAGAGAGGCUGGACAGGGCAGUUUCAAAUGCGGAGUGGCUACUAAUGCACCCUUGGGCGGGUCUGAGCAACCUCGAGAUGGGGAAGUCUGACCACCGACCCAUU